GGGUUGUGAGGUUAAGCGACUAAGCGUACACGGUGGAUGCCCUGGCAGUCAGAGGCGAUGAAGGACGUGCUAAUCUGCGAUAAGCGUCGGUAAGGUGAUAUGAACCGUUAUAACCGGCGAUUUCCGAAUGGGGAAACCCAGUGUGUUUCGACACACUAUCAUUAACUGAAUCCAUAGGUUAAUGAGGCGAACCGGGGGAACUGAAACAUCUAAGUACCCCGAGGAAAAGAAAUCAACCGAGAUUCCCCCAGUAGCGGCGAGCGAACGGGGAGCAGCCCAGAGCCUGAAUCAGUGUGUGUGUUAGUGGAAGCGUCUGGAAAGGCGCGCGAUACAGGGUGACAGCCCCGUACACAAAAAUGCACAUAUUGUGAGCUCGAUGAGUAGGGCGGGACACGUGGUAUCCUGUCUGAAUAUGGGGGGACCAUCCUCCAAGGCUAAAUACUCCUGACUGACCGAUAGUGAACCAGUACCGUGAGGGAAAGGCGAAAAGAACCCCGGCGAGGGGAGUGAAAAAGAACCUGAAACCGUGUACGUACAAGCAGUGGGAGCACGCUUAGGCGUGUGACUGCGUACCUUUUGUAUAAUGGGUCAGCGACUUAUAUUCUGUAGCAAGGUUAACCGAAUAGGGGAGCCGAAGGGAAACCGAGUCUUAACUGGGCGUUAAGUUGCAGGGUAUAGACCCGAAACCCGGUGAUCUAGCCAUGGGCAGGUUGAAGGUUGGGUAACACUAACUGGAGGACCGAACCGACUAAUGUUGAAAAAUUAGCGGAUGACUUGUGGCUGGGGGUGAAAGGCCAAUCAAACCGGGAGAUAGCUGGUUCUCCCCGAAAGCUAUUUAGGUAGCGCCUCGUGAAUUCAUCUCCGGGGGUAGAGCACUGUUUCGGCAAGGGGGUCAUCCCGACUUACCAACCCGAUGCAAACUGCGAAUACCGGAGAAUGUUAUCACGGGAGACACACGGCGGGUGCUAACGUCCGUCGUGAAGAGGGAAACAACCCAGACCGCCAGCUAAGGUCCCAAAGUCAUGGUUAAGUGGGAAACGAUGUGGGAAGGCCCAGACAGCCAGGAUGUUGGCUUAGAAGCAGCCAUCAUUUAAAGAAAGCGUAAUAGCUCACUGGUCGAGUCGGCCUGCGCGGAAGAUGUAACGGGGCUAAACCAUGCACCGAAGCUGCGGCAGCGACGCUUAUGCGUUGUUGGGUAGGGGAGCGUUCUGUAAGCCUGCGAAGGUGUGCUGUGAGGCAUGCUGGAGGUAUCAGAAGUGCGAAUGCUGACAUAAGUAACGAUAAAGCGGGUGAAAAGCCCGCUCGCCGGAAGACCAAGGGUUCCUGUCCAACGUUAAUCGGGGCAGGGUGAGUCGACCCCUAAGGCGAGGCCGAAAGGCGUAGUCGAUGGGAAACAGGUUAAUAUUCCUGUACUUGGUGUUACUGCGAAGGGGGGACGGAGAAGGCUAUGUUGGCCGGGCGACGGUUGUCCCGGUUUAAGCGUGUAGGCUGGUUUUCCAGGCAAAUCCGGAAAAUCAAGGCUGAGGCGUGAUGACGAGGCACUACGGUGCUGAAGCAACAAAUGCCCUGCUUCCAGGAAAAGCCUCUAAGCAUCAGGUAACAUCAAAUCGUACCCCAAACCGACACAGGUGGUCAGGUAGAGAAUACCAAGGCGCUUGAGAGAACUCGGGUGAAGGAACUAGGCAAAAUGGUGCCGUAACUUCGGGAGAAGGCACGCUGAUAUGUAGGUGAAGUCCCUCGCGGAUGGAGCUGAAAUCAGUCGAAGAUACCAGCUGGCUGCAACUGUUUAUUAAAAACACAGCACUGUGCAAACACGAAAGUGGACGUAUACGGUGUGACGCCUGCCCGGUGCCGGAAGGUUAAUUGAUGGGGUCAGCGCAAGCGAAGCUCUUGAUCGAAGCCCCGGUAAACGGCGGCCGUAACUAUAACGGUCCUAAGGUAGCGAAAUUCCUUGUCGGGUAAGUUCCGACCUGCACGAAUGGCGUAAUGAUGGCCAGGCUGUCUCCACCCGAGACUCAGUGAAAUUGAACUCGCUGUGAAGAUGCAGUGUACCCGCGGCAAGACGGAAAGACCCCGUGAACCUUUACUAUAGCUUGACACUGAACAUUGAGCCUUGAUGUGUAGGAUAGGUGGGAGGCUUGGAAGUGUGGACGCCAGUCUGCAUGGAGCCGACCUUGAAAUACCACCCUUUAAUGUUUGAUGUUCUAACGUUGACCCGUGAUCCGGGUUGCGGACAGUGUCUGGUGGGUAGUUUGACUGGGGCGGUCUCCUCCUAAAGAGUAACGGAGGAGCACGAAGGUUGGCUAAUCCUGGUCGGACAUCAGGAGGUUAGUGCAAUGGCAUAAGCCAGCUUGACUGCGAGCGUGACGGCGCGAGCAGGUGCGAAAGCAGGUCAUAGUGAUCCGGUGGUUCUGAAUGGAAGGGCCAUCGCUCAACGGAUAAAAGGUACUCCGGGGAUAACAGGCUGAUACCGCCCAAGAGUUCAUAUCGACGGCGGUGUUUGGCACCUCGAUGUCGGCUCAUCACAUCCUGGGGCUGAAGUAGGUCCCAAGGGUAUGGCUGUUCGCCAUUUAAAGUGGUACGCGAGCUGGGUUUAGAACGUCGUGAGACAGUUCGGUCCCUAUCUGCCGUGGGCGCUGGAGAACUGAGGGGGGCUGCUCCUAGUACGAGAGGACCGGAGUGGACGCAUCACUGGUGUUCGGGUUGUCAUGCCAAUGGCACUGCCCGGUAGCUAAAUGCGGAAGAGAUAAGUGCUGAAAGCAUCUAAGCACGAAACUUGCCCCGAGAUGAGUUCUCCCUGACUCCUUGAGAGUCCUGAAGGAACGUUGAAGACGACGACGUUGAUAGGCCGGGUGUGUAAGCGCAGCGAUGCGUUGAGCUAACCGGUACUAAUGAACCGUGAGGCUUAACCUUACAACGCCGAAGCUGUU
rnacentral:rRNA from 1 species